rnacentral:rRNA from 1 species
AUGAAAGAGAAGCGCAAAGAACCUAGACAACAGAAUAGUUUGAAAGCUUUAAGAAAUCAAUAAACCUCGUCAAGAAAAUAAAAAGACUAGAUUAUUGAGAAAUAACUAGCUAUCCGACAGGAUAAGCGAAAAGCUUAAAAAAGUCAAACCCAUCCGAAAGGAAAAAAAGCUUUACUUGAGUAGGAAGAGAUUCUGAAAGGAUAAAGACACCAUGGAGAGUUUGAUCCUGGCUCAGGAUGAACGCUGGCGGUAUGCUUAACACAUGCAAGUCGAACGGUACUUCGGUGAUAGUGGCGGACGGGUGAGUAACGCGUAAGAAUCUACCUAUAGGUUCGGGACAACAGUUAGAAAUGACUGCUAAUACCGGAUGUGCCUUCGGGUGAAAGUUUUAAUGCCUAUAGAUGAGCUUGCGUCCGAUUAGCUAGAUGGAGUGGUAACGGCACACCAUGGCGACGAUCGGUAGCUGGUCUGAGAGGAUGACCAGUCACACUGGAACUGAGACACGGUCCAGACUCCUACGGGAGGCAGCAGUGGGGAAUUUUCCGCAAUGGGCGAAAGCCUGACGGAGCAAUACCGCGUGAGGGACGAAGGUCUGUGGAUUGUAAACCUCUUUUGUUAGGGAAGAUAAUGACGGUACCUAACGAAUAAGCAUCGGCUAACUCCGUGCCAGCAGCCGCGGUAAGACGGAGGAUGCAAGCGUUAUCCGGAAUUAUUGGGCGUAAAGCGUACGUAGGCUGUUAGAUAAGUCUGUUGUCAAAGCGCGAGGCUCAACCUUGUAAAGGCAAUGGAAACUGUUUGACUAGAGAGAGAUAGGGGCAGGAGGAAUUCCAGGUGUAGCGGUGAAAUGCGUAGAUAUCUGGAAGAACACCAGUGGCGAAAGCGUCCUGCUGGAUCUCAACUGACGCUGAAGUACGAAAGCUAGGGGAGCGAAUGGGAUUAGAUACCCCAGUAGUCCUAGCCGUAAACGAUGGGUACUAGGUGUUGGUCGUAUCGACCCGAUCAGUGCCGUAGCUAACGCGUUAAGUACCCCGCCUGGGGAGUACGGUCGCAAGAUUGAAACUCAAAGGAAUUGACGGGGGCCCGCACAAGCGGUGGAGUAUGUGGUUUAAUUCGAUGCAACGCGAAGAACCUUACCAAGGCUUGACAUGUCGUGAAUCCUCUUGAAAGGGAGGAGUGCCUUCGGGAGCACGAACACAGGUGGUGCAUGGCUGUCGUCAGCUCGUGUCGUGAGAUGUUGGGUUAAGUCCCGCAACGAGCGCAACCCUCGUAUUUAGUUGCCAUCAUUAAGUUGGGCACUCUAGAUAGACUGCCGGUGACAAACCGGAGGAAGGUGGGGAUGACGUCAAGUCAUCAUGCCCCUUACGCCUUGGGCUACACACGUACUACAAUGGCCGGGACAAAGAGUUGCGAGCAUGCGAAUGCAAGCUAAUCUCAUAAACCCGGUCUUAGUUCAGAUUGCAGGCUGCAACUCGCCUGCAUGAAGGCGGAAUCGCUAGUAAUCGCAGGUCAGCAUACUGCGGUGAAUACGUUCCCGGGCCUUGUACACACCGCCCGUCACACCAUGGAAGCUGGUCACGCCCGAAGUCGUUAUCUCAACCCGCAAGGGAGGGAGGCGCCUAAGGCAGGGCUGGUGACUGGGGUGAAGUCGUAACAAGGUAGCCGUACCGGAAGGUGCGGCUGGAUCACCUCCUUAUAGGGAGACCUAUUUAACUUUAGACCGAAACAAUACAGUAAUAAGUCAAAGUUAAGUCAUCCCAAGGUCGUUCGAGAUUUAUUGGAAAGCUUUCAAACUAAGUCAGGUUCUGAAUCAAGCUAAUAAAAAGCAACAAAGGGCCAUUAGCUCAGUUGGUUAGAGCGCACGGCUGAUAACCGUGAGGUCACUGGUUCGUGUCCAGUAUGGCCCACUUGAGAAAAUUUUAGCAAAGCCGCAAGGAAUAGCUAAGAAAAACUCUGGGGAUAUAGCUCAGUUGGUAGAGCGCUUGCCUUGCACGCAUGAAGUCAGGAGUUCGAAUCUCCUUAUCUCCACCAAACUACUAACAAGACCAACGAAAGCGACAGCAAGAGUUUAGCAACUCAUCUAGUCAGGCAAGCAGCCAACAACUAGAGAGACUGCUAAAUUCUAGCGAAAGCGAAGAAUUUAGAAAGAACCUUGAAAACUGCAUAGUAAUAGUAAUAAGAAGCAAGUAGAUCCAAAGUGGAAACACAGAGGUCAAGCUACAAAGGGCUCACGGUGGAUACCUAGGCACAAGAAGGCGAUGAAGGACGUGGUUACCUACGAUAAGCUGCGGGGAGCUGGAAGCAAGCCCUGAUCCGCAGGUUUCCGAAUGGGGCAACCCUAAAUACUGCUCGUUGAAUAAAAUAGACGGGAAAGAGCAAACUCAGCGAAUUGAAACAUCUUAGUAGCUGAAGGAAGAGAAAAUAAACAAUGAUUUCCUAAGUAGCGGCGAGCGAACGGGAAAAAGCCCAAACCAAUUGGCAAGACCGAUUGGGGUUAUAGGACAGCGACACUGUACAGAAUAGAUUAGAUGAAGUGUUUGGAAUGACACGCUAUAGAGAGUGAAAGCCUCGUAAUUAAAAAUCGAAACUGACUAGCUGGAUCCUGAGUAGCACGGUACACGAGAAAUUCCGUGUGAAUUCGCCGGGACCACCCGGUAAGGCUAAAUACUCACUUGUGACCGAUAGUGAACGAGUACCGCGAGGGAAAGGUGAAAAGAACCCCGGAAGGGGAGUGAAAUAGAACAUGAAACCGUGAGCUUACAAGCAAUGGGAGGACGAUUUAACGUCUGACCGUGUGCCUGUUGAAGAAUGAGCCGGCGACUUAUAUGCAGUGGCAGGUUAAGGGGAAAAUCCCGAAGCCAAAGCGAAAGCGAGUUUGAUAAGAGCGAUAGUCACUGUAUAUAGACCCGAACCCGGGUGAUCUAACCAUGGGCAGGAUGAAGCUUGGGUAACACCAAGUGGAGGUCCGAACCGACUGAUGUUGAAAAAUCAGCGGAUGACCUGUGGUUAGGGGUGAAAUGCCAAUCGAACCCGGAGCUAGCUGGUUCUCCCCGAAAUAUGUUGAGGCAUAGCGGUAUUGAUUAUAGUCUGGGGGUAAAGCACUGAAUCGGUGCGGGCUGGGAAACCGGUACCAAAUCGAAUCAAACUCUGAAUACCAGAUGCACACAAUGCCAGUCAGACUGUGGGGGAUAAGCUCCAUGGUCAAGAGGGAAACAGCCCAGAUCACCAGUUAAGGUCCCAAAGCCAUCGCUAAGUGAUAAAGGAGGUGGGGAUACAGAGACAACCAGGAGGUUUGCUUAGAAGCAGCCACCCUUGAAAGAGUGCGUAAUAGCUCACUGGUCAAGUGUCCCUGCGCCGAAAAUGAACGGGGCUAAGCGAUGCACCGAAGCUGUGGGAUUAAUAUAUUAAUCGGUAGGGGAGCGUUCUGUAGUAGGUAGAAGCAUUAGCGUAAGCAGAUGUGGACGAAGCAGAAGUGAGAAUGUCGGCUUGAGUAGCGCAAAUAUAUGUGAGAAUCAUAUACCCCAAAAACCCAAGGUUUUCUACGCAAGGCUCGUCCACGUAGAGUUAGUCGGGACCUAAGGCGAGGUCGAAAGGCGUAGUCGAUGGACACAGGGUCAACAUUCCCUGACUAUUAAAUUGGAGUAUAUACAGGACGCAUCAGAAAUAGUCACGCCCUAAUUGGAUUGGGAGGGCUCUACGGAGUCUGAGUGAUGAAAUGCAGUGCCAAGAAAAGCCGUAUAUGUGAUGAAGAUUUAGUACCCGUACCCCAAACCGACACAGGUGGGUAGGUUGAGUAUACUAAGGGGCGCGAGAUAACUCUCUCUAAGGAACUCGGCAAAAUGGCCCCGUAACUUCGGGAGAAGGGGUGCCAUCGCAAGAUGGCCGCAGUGAAAUGAUCCAAGCGACUGUUUACCAAAAACACAGGUCUCUGCAAAGUCGAAAGACGACGUAUAGGGGCUGACGCCUGCCCAGUGCCGGAAGGUUAAGGAAGUUGGUCAGCGAAAGUGAAGCUAACGACUGAAGCCCCGGUGAACGGCGGCCGUAACUAUAACGGUCCUAAGGUAGCGAAAUUCCUUGUCAGGUAAGUUCUGACCCGCACGAAAGGCGUAACGAUUUGGAUGCUGUCUCGGAGAGAGACUCGGCGAAAUAGGAUUGUCUGUGAAGAUACGGACUACUUGCACCCGGACAGAAAGACCCUAUGAAGCUUUACUAUAACUUGGAAUUGGGUUCGGGCUUCUCUUGCGCAGGAUAGGUGGGAGACUAAGAGAUUGUCCUUGUGGGGACAAAGGAGUCAACGGUGAGAUACCACUCUGGAGAGGCUAGAAUUCUAACCUUGACCCGUGAUCCGGGCGAGGAACAGUUUCAGGCGGGUAGUUUGACUGGGGCGGUCGCCUCCUAAAAAGUAACGGAGGCGCGCAAAGGUUCCCUCAGGCUGGUCGGAAAUCAGCCAAAGAGUGUAAAAGCAUAAGGGAGCUUGACUGCAAGACCAACAAGUCAAGCAGGGACGAAAGUCGGCUUUAGUGAUCCGACGGCACAGCGUGGAAUGGCCGUCGCUCAACGGAUAAAAGUUACUCUAGGGAUAACAGGCUGAUCUCCCCCAAGAGUUCACAUCGACGGGGAGGUUUGGCACCUCGAUGUCGGCUCAUCGCAACCUGGUGCGGAAGUACGUGCCAAGGGUUGGGCUGUUCGCCCAUUAAAGCGGUACGUGAGCUGGGUUCAGAACGUCGUGAGACAGUUCGGUCCAUAUCCGGUGCAAGCGCAAGAAUAUUGAGAGGACUCCUCCUUAGUACGAGAGGACCGGGAGGAACGCACCGCUGGUGUACCAGUUAUCGUGCCAACGGUAAACGCUGGGUAGCUAUGUGCGGAGAGGAUAACCGCUGAAAGCAUCUAAGUGGGAAGCCCACCUCAAGAUGAGUAUUCUCAUGGGAAAACCCAGUAAGGUCACAGGUAGAUUACCUGUUUGAUAGGCUUUAGGUGUAAGUGUAGUAAUAUGCGUAGCCAAGAAGUACUAAUAGACCGAGGGCUUGUCCUCAAUAUUCCGCAAUUAAAUCUACAAAUAUCGAAAUUACUAUUACUGUGCAGCUUUCAAGGCUCUGAACCAAUCAGGUAGACCUUAUAAGUUUGCUUGGUGUCUAUGGUGCGGUGGAACCACUCUGACCCAUCCCGAACUCAG